UGUAGGAGUGGAAUAACUCCGGGAAACCGGGGCUAAUACCGGAUGGUUGUUUGAACCGCAUGGUUAAAUUCUGGCCUGGGGCUUCCGCUACAACUUACGUAUGAACCCGCGGCUGAUUAGCUAAUGGGUGAGGUAAGGGAUCACCCAGGCCAGGAUGCAUAGCCUAACUGAUAGGGUGAUCGCUGACACUGGGACUGAAACCCUGCCCAAACUCCUACGGGAGAAUACUGUACGGAGUCUUCCACCCUGAACCAAACUCGGACCGAGCAACGCCACGGGCUUGAUAAUGGUUUUCGGAUCGUAUUGCUCUGUUGGUAGGGAAAAAAAUAUACCGUUGUUAUGAGGUUGCACCUUGACUGUACCUAACCUAAAUGCCACGGCUAACUACGUGCCAUCCACCGCGUUAAUACGUUAGUGGCAUUUAUUGUCCGGAAUUAUUGGGCGUAAGGGGCUCGCAGGCGGAUUCUUAAUCCUGAUGUGAAACCCCCCGGCUCAACCGGGGAGGGUCAUUGGAAACUGGGGAAC
rnacentral:rRNA from 2 species